AGUGAACGCUGGCGGCAGGCCUAACACAUGCAAGUCGAACGGCAGCACGGGGGAGCUUGCUCCCUGGGUGGCGAGUGGCGGACGGGUGAGGAAUACAUCGGAAUCUACCCUUUCGUGGGGGAUAACGUAGGGAAACUUAAGCUAAAACCUCAUACGAUCUGAGGAUGGAAGCAGGGGACCGCAAGGCCUUGCGCGAUUGGAUGAGCCGAUGGCCGAUUAGCUAGUUGGCGGGGUAAAGGCCCACCAAGGCGACGAUCGGUAGCUGGUCUGAGAGGAUGAUCAGCCACACUGGAACUGAGACACGGUCCAGACUCCUACGGGAGGCAGCAGUGGGGGAUAUUGGACAAUGGGCGCAAGCCUGAUCCAGCCAUGCCGCGUGUGUGAAGAAGGCCUUCGGGUUGUAAAGCACUUUUGUUGGGAAAGAAAACCUGUCGGCUAAUACCCGGCUGGGAUGACGGUACCCAAAGAAUAAGCACCGGCUAACUUCGUGCCAGCAGCCGCCGUAACAC
rnacentral:rRNA from 1 species